rnacentral:rRNA from 1 species
CAGUCGCCGCGGUAAUACGUAGGGUGCAAGCGUUAAUCGGAAUUACUGGGCGUAAAGCGUGCGCAGGCGGUUAUAUAAGUCAGAUGUGAAAUCCCCGGGCUCAACCUGGGAACUGCAUUUGAGACUGUAUGGCUAGAGUGUGUCAGAGGGGGGUAGAAUUCCACGUGUAGCAGUGAAAUGCGUAGAUAUGUGGAGGAAUACCGAUGGCGAAGGCGACUCUCUGGUCUGUAACUGACGCUGAGGAGCGAAAGCGUGGGGAGCGAACAGGAUUAGAUACCCGUGUAGUCCCUGUCUCUUAUAC